rnacentral:lncRNA from 1 species
GUUGUACAUUAUUUUGCGGUGCCGUCGGUGCACCGCAGAGCAUCGGUGCUCGAUCUAGUCAAAGAAGUGCAGUUCGUCAUUUGAUUUGAAAAUUGUUGUACCGUCUGGUUGAGGAUGGCGUGUGGUAGUGAAAGAAAUGGGUACUGUGGGCUUGGAUUAGACCACGUCUUUGUACUUGUCCUUGGUGGCCUGUAGUUGUG